GGUUGUGGCUCAGUGGUAGAGCGUUCACCUAGCAUUUGUGGGGUGCUGGGUUCAGUCCUCAGCACCA
rnacentral:tRNA from 1 species